rnacentral:rRNA from 1 species
GAUGAACGCUGGCGGCGUGCCUAAUACAUGCAAGUCGAGCGAACAGACGAGGAGCUUGCUCCUCUGACGUUAGCGGCGGACGGGUGAGUAACACGUGGAUAACCUACCUAUAAGACUGGGAUAACUUCGGGAAACCGGAGCUAAUACCGGAUAAUAUAUUGAACCGCAUGGUUCAAUAGUGAAAGACGGUUUUGCUGUCACUUAUAGAUGGAUCCGUGCCGCAUUAGCUAGUUGGUAAGGUAACGGCUUACCAAGGCAACGAUGCGUAGCCGACCUGAGAUGGUGAUCGGCCACACUGGAACUGAGACACGGUCCAGACUCCUACGGGAGGCAGCAGUAGGGAAUCUUCCGCAAUGGGCGAAAGCCUGACGGAGCAACGCCGCGUGAGUGAUGAAGGUCUUCGGAUCGUAAAACUCUGUUAUUAGGGAAGAACAAAUGUGUAAGUAACUAUGCACGUCUUGACGGUACCUAAUCAGAAAGCCACGGCUAACUACGUG